rnacentral:rRNA from 1 species
ACGCUCGACACCUACAGGAGGUAGCAGUGGGGAAUAUUGCACAAUGGGGGAAACCCUGAUGCAGCGACGCCGCGUGAGCGAAGAAGUAUUUCGGUAUGUAAAGCUCUAUCAGCAGGGAAGAAACUGACGGUACCUGACUAAGAAGCACCGGCUAAAUACGUGCCAGCAGCCGCGGUAAUCUGAGCGGGCUGGCAAGGC